rnacentral:rRNA from 1 species
UGAUCGAGUGGCGAACGGGUGAGUAACGCGUGAGGAACCUGCCUCAAAGAGGGGGACAACAGUUGGAAACGACUGCUAAUACCGCAUAAGCCCACGGCUCGGCAUCGAGCAGAGGGAAAAGGAGCAAUCCGCUUUGAGAUGGCCUCGCGUCCGAUUAGCUAGUUGGUGAGGUAAUGGCCCACCAAGGCGACGAUCGGUAGCCGGACUGAGAGGUUGAACGGCCACAUUGGGACUGAGACACGGCCCAGACUCCUACGGGAGGCAGCAGUGGGGAAUAUUGCACAAUGGGGGAAACCCUGAUGCAGCGACGCCGCGUGGAGGAAGAAGGUCUUCGGAUUGUAAACUCCUGUUGUUGAGGAAGAUAAUGACGGUACUCAACAAGGAAGUGACGGCUAACUACGUGCCAGCAGCCGCGGUAAAACGUAGGUCACAAGCGUUGUCCGGAAUUACUGGGUGUAAAGGGAGCGCAGGCGGGCGAUCAAGUUGGAAGUGAAAUCCAUGGGCUCAACCCAUGAACUGCUUUCAAAACUGAUUGUCUUGAGUAGUGCAGAGGUAGGCGGAAUUCCCGGUGUAGCGGUGGAAUGCGUAGAUAUCGGGAGGAACACCAGUGGCGAAGGCGGCCUACUGGGCACCAACUGACGCUGAGGCUCGAAAGUGUGGGUAGCAAACAGGAUUAGAUACCCUGGUAGUCCACACCGUAAACGAUGAUUACUAGGUGUUGGAGGAUUGACCCCUUCAGUGCCGCAGUUAACACAAUAAGUAAUCCACCUGGGGAGUACGACCGCAAGGUUGAAACUCAAAGGAAUUGACGGGGGCCCGCACAAGCAGUGGAGUAUGUGGUUUAAUUCGACGCAACGCGAAGAACCUUACCAAGUCUUGACAUCCUGCGACGAUGCUAGAAAUAGUAUUUUCCUUCGGGACGCAGAGACAGGUGGUGCAUGGUUGUCGUCAGCUCGUGUCGUGAGAUGUUGGGUUAAGUCCCGCAACGAGCGCAACCCUUAUGGUCAGUUACUACGCAAGAGGACUCUGGCCAGACUGCCGUUGACAAAACGGAGGAAGGUGGGGAUGACGUCAAAUCAUCAUGCCCUUUAUGACUUGGGCUACACACGUACUACAAUGGCGUUAAACAAAGAGAAGCAAGACCGCGAGGUGGAGCAAAACUCAGAAACAACGUCCCAGUUCGGACUGCAGGCUGCAACUCGCCUGCACGAAGUCGGAAUUGCUAGUAAUCG